UAUCAUUAUUCAUUCAUCACAAAACACACAGUAUACCUAAUAUUAUGUUUAUAAUAAGGCAGUGAAAACAGACACCGUGGUUUUCUUUAAAAAUUCUUGGUCAUUGUUUAAAUAAUAUUAUAAAAAAAUAUUCCUGAUCAGCGCUGUGCCGUGUGGUCUGUAAAUCUGAGGGCCUCGAAGUAGCCGUGUAAGUAACAGUUUAAAUAAUAAGAAACUAGUUAAAAAUCAGAAUUGGAAUGGAAAAUUAUAACUACAGGACCACGUUUUAAAUAGAUGAAGAAAAUGAGGACACAAAUGAGCAAUUCCAUCUUCAACCUUUGUGUUUUAAGUCUUCAAAGGCCACAGACUUAACACUGGCGCAGCAUCGGUACGAUUGUCAAAGGCGGGACUGAUCUUUCCAGCAUCACACCGAAGAACAAUUGAAGAGUUCCAGCACUUCUUGAUCUUCAACGCUCUUUGACGACCAGACGACUCAAUAUGAACGCUUUAUUGUGAGUUAAUCUAUACGAUCCACGAUUCUGCUAAGCCACUCAAUGAGGAUGCAUAUAAUGUCAGUGAAACAUGCAACGAAACAGUAGUCCAAGUCGAAGUAGACACUGUGAAUGGAUAUACGUUUGAGUCAGUGAUAGAAUACCAAAAAAAUGGGCCUUUGGAUGUGCAAACGAUGGACUACGGUCUGGACGGUAUACAGCAAUUUGUCUGCGAAAUAUGUAGCAAGGCCUUUACAACUAAAACGAAAGUGGCUAAACACAUAACUCAAUUACAUAGUACAACAACCCAGAAAAGAACCGCAAAGAAUGUUGCCAAAAAUAAUUAUGUGUCAUUUUCUCGAAAACGAAACGUCACCCAACACAAACGCGUGCACACUGGGGAAAAGCCCUCUAAAUGUGACAUGUGUUUAAAGUCAUUUUCUGUAGAAUUCAGCCUCACAUCACACAAACGAGUGCACACCGGGGAAAAGCCCUACACAUGUGACGUUUGCUCAAAGACUUCCCUAAAAAUCCAUUCUCACAACACACAAACGAGUGCACACUGGUGAAAAGCCCUAUAAAUGUGACAUGUGUUCAAAGUCAUUUUCUUACAAAUCCAACUUCAGGAAACACGUACUCGUACAUAGUGAUGGCUAAUGUGUGUUUUAAUAUUUUCUUAUAAACCUGAACUAUUCUAACCUACACCGAGGAGAAGUGCAGUCCAUAAUUUAUAUUAUUUGUUUUCCCAUUUGGCUUGUUCAUUAUUAAUUUGAUAAUAUUUGGAACUUAAUAGGGUACGCGUUAUUGAUUUUAACCACUAGAUUUUUAUGUUAAACAAAAUAAUAUUAAGCUUAUUUACCCCACUUUACGUUAUUAAUUGUUUGACUAUUUUUUUUUAUUUCAAUAACGAAUGUGUCAUUAUUAUUACUUUUAUUUAAUCAUUUUAUAUAUAUAUCUAUAUAUUAUAUAGCAUUUAUUUGGAAAUUAUAUUUAUAAUAAAACUUGUCUUUGCUUAAUUUAUGUUACUUAAUUUAUUAAAUUUAACUUAUUGUGUAUAUAUUAGUAUAAUUAU